AUAAACUGGGGAGUGAAGAUAGAGAACAUAUCAAGGGAGGCCAACCGGAUCACUGAUUUUAUCGCCAAACUAAUGAAGAACCAGUCGGAGGAUACUAACUUUCUGCGUAAUUACCCUAAGGAAGCUGAGAGAUUAUUCUAGCUGAUAAAACUGGCACCUAAAAGGCCCAUUCACCCGUAUUCAACCAAAAAAAAAUCAAGUUACCGCGUAAGCAUGAAAGAAAAAGGAAUUUAGAGAAACUACUAUCCAUAAAGACGGUUCGUUUUUCCGAAGAGUUGAAUUGAACCCAAAGAAAGAUAUGGAGUGUGUUCUUUGUUGGGUUGGUUUUUGGAGUGCUAGCAAUUGUGAGUCUGCAAGUUGUGGGAUUCUUUUUUGUGUUAAAUCGAUUGAAUCGAAGGAUCAAACGAGAAUCUCUUGCUGCAUCGAAUCCCCAGUCCCAACCUUCCUCCGAUUUCACUUACAACAAGCAGGUAUGGAUUCCCCCGUCUUUCUUUCAUCUUUUUUUUUUGCUUAGAUUUGAACUUGCUUGCAUCGUGUUGUGUUAGGGGACUGUUUGGGUUCUUGAAUCAGAAAAAGCUCCGGCACCAUGAGAGCAGAAGUGAAAAAAGGACUCGCCCUUGGAAUUUUCUCCUACUCGAAAGCAUGCUAAAAUCCUGGAAAACAACUUAGUUUUCAUACAUUCUGAUUCUUCCCGCACUACCAUUCCCUUUAAGGGCUGCGUCAUAGAGGCUAUUUCCGCUACCAAUUUAGCCUCAAGAAAAUGGUGUUAUGCCCUUUGCUUUUACUCUUCUUUCUCACUUCAAUGCUCAUUGUUCAUGUAUUUUCGACAAUGAUUCUUACUUAAGUCUCAACUCUCAAGCUUAUCUGUCCCAUCCUUUUGCUUCAAGUUGUAAGUUAAAGUUUUGGUUUUCAAUCAAGCUUUUUUUGGCAUAACAAUGUUGACAUUGUUAAGAGUUAAGAAUAUAGGUGUCUGACUUCAUUUGUCGCCUUUGAAUCAUAAAAUACCGUGCUGUUAUGAUAUAGCUUAAUCAGUUGUUCUAAGUUAUGUGCACUUUCAAAAUAUUUAACUUUGCUUCAUUCGUUUGCGUUGUAUGAAUGGUUUGAUAGGGCCACGAGAUUUCCAAUAAAAGUGGAAAACAAAUCUUCAUCCAUGUACAUUGGAAGUAAAACCAUUUACCUUAAUCUGGAGACUUCUUGGGAGAAGGAGUCAUGGUGCAAAGCUCUUCGUCUUGCUUCGUGCAAGGAUAAAGAAAAGCUGAGCUGAUUUGCUAAGUUGAAUGAAGACUUCCAUGCUUACUUGGCAUCUUUAAAUGUUGGAUGUCUGUCAUUUAUGAAACCUUAUUUAGGUUUCAGUGCUGAGCCAAUGGAUAAUGGAGGUAAGUUUGAUGGUUCUUCAUCAAAAAGUUAAAUUAUUUUGGAGAAAAAUUUCCAAAUUAAAGCCUGGUAUGGAAAAUAAGGGAAUUUGGACAUCGCAAACUGCCCGUGAAGAACGGCAACCAUUCCAAGAUUAAGUGACAAAGAAAGUACCAAACAGUUCAACCGAAGAAAAUAUGGCAUUUCCAUUACCGCAAGGUUUUCCUCGUUCAGUUAGUCAAAGUGCUUCUGUUGCUUCUGAUGCUGAUUCGGAACAAGACAAAUUUAGUUUUGAUGAAGGGACACUUUGCUGGAACUUGUUAAUUUCUCGAAUCUUUUUUGAUAUGAAAGGAAAUUCAGGGUUGAAAAGUUCUAUUCAAGCACGUAUUCAGAGAACAUUGUCCAAUAUUAGGACCCCUAGUUACAUAGGGGAAGUCAUUUGAACUGAUUUAGACAUUGGAAAUCUCCCACCUUAUAUCCAUGCAAUGAGGAUUCUUCCUUCAGACAUGAAUGAGGUAUGUGCAUUUGAAGUUGAUGCUGAAUAUUCUGGUGGAAUUCUGUUAGAUGUUGAGACCAGACUUGAAGUUAGUGACCAAGAUUUUAAAAAUGGCCUGGUUGCUCAAAUUCAGAAACAAAUUCUGUUGAAAAUGUCUCUUCAGACCUUCUUGAAGGCUUUGAGCAUUUUGGAAAGCAUUUGAAUCUUCCUGAAGAGGAUGAGGUCGACCCUAAAGUUGAUGGUCUAAAAGGCAGUAGAGCUACACCAACAACAAGUUAUGCAUCCCAAUGGAAGUAUGUUGUAAAUUCCGUAGCCAAACAGGUUUCACAGGUGCCUUUGUCUUUGUCGAUAAGGGUUGCAUCCCUUCGAGGAACGCUGCGGUUAUAUAUAAAGCCAACCCCUUCCGAUCAGUUAUAGUUUAGCUUCACGUCCAUGCCUGAUAUAGAAUUUGUCCUCGAGUCUUCUAUUAGGGAACACAAGAUAAAUAGUGGACAUAUUGCUUUAUUCUUGAUCAGUCGGUUUAAGGCAGCUAUACGUGAAAGUGCUUCCAAACUGUGAAAGUACAUGCAUUCCUUGGAUGUUAACAGAGAAAUAUGAUUGGGUCCCAAGGGAAGUUGCCCCAUUUAUAUGGCUUAAUCUAGAGGCACCAGUCACCAGUCGUCGAGUCACAGAGUCUGAAGCAUGGUCAUCAAGAAGCUCUUCAGCAAAGAGUAGGUCCUUGCAAGAUCUAAGAACUCCCCUUCUUGAAACUGAUGAACCACAUGAAAUGCAUCAGCAGAAUAUAGAGGAAAGUUCAGAUUCUGUGUCAGUAUCUAGGUCUCUGACUGAGUCUGAAAGGCAGAGUGAUGUAGGUGAUGACAAUGAUUCAAGGCCAAAGAAGACGGGGAGGAGGGCAAGGGUGAUGGAUUUGACAAAGAAAAUGGGAGAGAGGUUCGAAGAGAAGAAGCGUCACAUUGAAGAAAGGGGUAGGCAUAUUGUUGAGAAAAUGAGAGGACCCUGAGACCAAUUGAAACGCGAACUCACGGCAUUCUUUCUUUGAUCCUGACAAUUACUAUUGUCAUU